CAGACGCAUUCGUCUCCCGCUCGAAGGACGCCGCAGCCCGUCCGGCAGUGCAAACGUGACGGCCUGGGAGGCGGGCGACGGCAGGUGGCCGGUGGCGGGUCUCGUAUCCGUCGCCGGUUGUUAGCCGGCCCGUCGGUGGCACGUCGCCGGACGGAGGUAACGAGAUGCCCCGCACGCGGGGCGUCGAUGUCUCCCCUCCAAAAACGAGGGCGGAACCGGUCGUUGCGAGCGAAGGCAGCCGCGCGGCCGCACUCCCGCGGAGUGGGCCAGCGACCCAGUCGGCGCCGGCGGCGACGACGGAUCCGUCGGAGGCAGGAGGUUCGCGGCGAGUAGGUCGGUCACCCACCCGACCCGUCUUGAAACACGGACCAAGGAGUCUAACAUGUGCGCGAGUCAAUGGGUCUUGAACAAGCCCAGGGGCGCAAUGAAAGCGAAGUCCGGCUCCCACGCCGGACGAGUCGGGAUCCCGCGCCCCCGCGGCGCGGGCGCACCGACGACCCGUCCUGUGCGGCUUGCCGCUCGGGCGGAGUGAGAGCGUACACGUUGGGACCCGAAAGAUGGUGAACUAUGCCCGGGCAGGUCGAGGUCAGAGGAAACUCUGGUGGAGGACCGCAGCGGUCUGACG
rnacentral:rRNA from 3 species